CCUGGAGGGAGCCUGGACGGCGGCAGGAGGGGCUGUCCCUGCCUGUGAUGAUGGCCACCUUGAGACCAUGGUCUGUGGUGCUUCUCAUGCCAAAUGCUCACCUCCUCCCUGACAUGCCACCUGCUGUAUUCACCAAGUCCCCGUUCCAUUUAGGAUAUCAAGGCUGGCUUUGGGUCGGAAGUAGAGCGUGGAUCUCCCAGACUGAAGUCAAGGUGUCGGUAGGCUGUGUUCCUUCCUGGAGGCUCCAGGGCUGAGUCUGUGUCCUUGCUCUUUGGGUGGGCAGAGUUCAGCGAUCUGUGGCUGCAGGCCCAGGCCCCUGCUUCUUUGCUGGCUGUCGGUGGGGGCUGUUCCCAGCUCUAGAGGCCAUCCCCACUCCUCGGCUCUCAGCCCGUGUGCUGUUUCAAAGCCAGCCAUGGUGGGUCAGAUUCUCUCUAAUCGCUUCUCCUCCUUCUUUUCUCUCUGACACAGCCAGGAAAGGUUUUCUGAUUUGAAGGACUGCUGAUUAAACUGCUGGUCCCACCCAGAUAAUUCACGAUCAACUCUCUGCCUCUAGGUCUGUGCCCUUAAUCACAUUUCUGUAUGUAUUAGUCAGGGUUCUUCAGAGGAGCAGAACCAAUAGGAUGUGUGUAUAUACAGAAAGAGAUUUAUUUUAAGUAAUUGGCUCAUGCAAUUAUGGAGGCAAAUCCAAAAUCCGCAGGGUGGGCUGGCAGGCUGGAGACCCCAGGAAGAGCCCAUGUUGUAGUUUUAAGUCCAGUGACCACGUGGGAGAGAAUUCCUUCUUCCUUGGGGAAGGUCAGUCUUUUUGUUCUAUUUACGCCUUCAACUGAUUGGUCAAAGCCCACCCACCCACACUAUGGAGGGCAAAUUGCUUUACUUAAACUCUGCUGAUUUGAAUGUUAACCUUAUUAUCCUAAACACCCUCACAGAAACACCCGGUGAUGUCUGACCACAUAUCUGGGUACUGUGGUCUGGCCAAGCUGACAUAUGAAAUUAACUAUCUCAUUCACAAAAUCCUUUUUGGCACAUGAGGCAACACUUUCCCAGGUUCUGGAGGUGAGGUAUGGACGUCUGGGGGCUGUUAUCUGUGAACCACACUGGUCUUUCUUCUUAUCUCUGUUUUUAUAAUCCAGAGGGUCAUCUUUUCCUCAGAGAUUCAUGACAUGCAACCAAAGCAGUGGAGUGUGAGACACCAAGUUUUCCAAAUUAGCAGGGAACAUGUGGCACUGAGCUUUAUGGGCAGGUGCUUCUUCAGGCCUCCCCCCAAGACAGCUGUCCCUGGGUGUGGAGAUGUCCUGGGGCCCUGAGGCCUUGGCCACACAGCUCCUUGCUCCACAGUGUCACGUGGGAAGGGGUUCCUGUCUCCCUCCCUCCGUCAGCAUCAGCCUCUUGAGUGCUGUGUCCUCUCCCAGGAGAUGGGAAAUGUGUUCUUCAGAGGAUGCCCCUCAAAUGAUCCCCCUGCUGUUGUCUCCCAGAGUGCUAGGGUUACAGGUGUGAGCCACCUUGCCCGGCCUGACAUUGUUUUUAUUGUCUCAUUCAGGCUCAUAACCCACAUACCCCACAGACUCCUAAUGGGUGUUUUUAUUGUCACAUUUAACUUUGAGCUCACCAAGGGUCAACGAAGCAAACAGCUGUGCUCAGGGCCCCAAACUGGCCCUUCAUGCCAGCUCGGACCCUUGGCCCAUGUCACCUAGUGGCAGAAGGGCAGAGGUGGGAGGAGGUCAUGGAGCUAAGGGUUGGGGCACAUGGAGGGAGAGGGAAGGUCCUGCUUCAGGAAAUGACUGUGCUUAAUUUGUCCAACUGGGGAGGGUCUGUCUGAGCACACUCAUGCCCCACACCACAUUCACAGACACACUGACAACACACACACUGCACAGAUUCACACACAACACACAUGAACACCCACUCAGUCACGUAAACCCAUGCACCAUACACACAUACCACCAACUCAUAGCAUGUCACAUACACCCCACAUGCACACAUCACACAAGAACUAUACAACACACCCACACAUGUAUACGCACCCAUCAAUGCACACAUACAAACUCACAACACAUAUAUUACAUAAAACCUACCACACACCACAAGCACCAUUGUAGGAAAAUUAGAAAACAGAGACAAGCAUAAGAUAAUGUAAAUUGAAAAUCAUUUCAAAUCCUUCCAGAUCCAGAAAUG